GUUUUUUUUUUUUUAGUAAUCGACAAUCUACUGUUUAACUUGAUAACAUGCAGUGGAAGUUUUCUCUGUUUUGUACAAUUACGAAUCAAAGCAUCCAAGGGUCUAAAAGCACAAAAAUGGGCUAAAGCAGCCUCAGCCCGAGACGCCUCAAGCUCCGAGCAGACGCUUUGGAAACCAAGUACCCAACUCCCAAACACAUUACCCAUAUCCCCACAUCAACUGCCCAUCUCAUUCCUUCCAAAUCCAUCUCCAUCAGAUUGCAAUCAGGGCCACAGACUUCAUCUAAUUCUCCAUCAUUCCAUCUGUGGUAUUUGCAAUCACAACAAAUUUCACCGACAGAUUCAUCAUCCGCUUCCUCUGUCUCCUCUGGAAUCACCUCCAGUUUAUCAAACCCCACCCUCCUUUUCUUCUUUCUCCUCGACACCAUCUCCGCUCUCCCGCUCAACGCAACAUGCCCCUCCACCGCCACGCAAACGUCCGCUCCCACCGUAUCCACUUCAGUGGCACCACCACCACCACCACCACCACCACCACCGGCAACAAGCUCUCUCUCAAGCCCACACUCACACUCCAGCUUCCAUUCCUCGUCGUCUUUCCUAAAAAUCCCCUCCAAGACCCUCUCCUCUCCCAAGUAAACUUCGAAGCGGAUCCCCCCGCUUGCCCAAACCCGCUCUCUUGAUCCAAAUAUUGCCUCUCCCUUCUUCGUCUUGACAUUAACUACCCGAUGGAGCGUCAAGAACGCAGGAGAAUCGGGGCGGACCUCACACCCGUCUACAAGGAGCUCCGAUCCGUUAAUGCGAGGGAGAUAGAGGAGUGUGAGGGAGUCGGGCAAGGACUUGCAUGACUUGAAACCCGAAAAGCGGAUAAAGAAACCUUUGAUUUUCAAGCUAUUUCGAUUUCUGGGCUGGAACCCAUUAAAAAAACCCAUGCUUCUACACAUCACAGCGUUGUUUCUGUAAUAUUAGAGAAUCAAUGGCUGCUCCGAUACGUCUUUAUAUCAACUAUUAAGGGUUGUGCGAAGCAGAAAUGGUUGUGGGAUUUAUCAUUGGCGAGUAGUGGCGGCCGUGAGUCGGCCUAUGGAUUUGAUUCGAAUUCAGGGGGUGAAUAGCACGCGGUUUUUGUUGAUG
rnacentral:misc_RNA from 1 species